UGUCAAUUGGCAAAGCUGCCAGCCACAGGCAGGGAAAGAACGUCUCAGAGUGUCAUUGCUGGCUCAGUCAACAGGAAGCAAUAUGCUCUCUCCUUGGUCUCAUGGGGACUGUGUCCCCUUCUUCCUUUCUGAGACCUCUAGCAUGCGCUGAGUAUCUCAUCUCUUAGAUUAGAUCUCCCCACAAAUAUUCCCAUGACAGCCAGAAAUGUGGAAAGGAGGAUCAUUUAUCAUGAAGGAAAGUGUGUCCCCUGCAUCUUUUCCAUCAGGAACAUCACGUAUAGAGAGAAGUGUCCAGCCUUUGCAGUUUUGCAUAGAGCACACUCCUGCUGACUGCAGGCUCUCUGCAGUGUUUAUCAGUUUCUCAUGAGAAGAUUUACUCUUGGUCAUAAACAGAGUAGGAGCUGACAAGGUAAUCCCAUGCAGGGUUCUGAGCUGUAGGAAUAACCAGAGCCUUCUCUGCAUUACUGUGUAGGCUCCACUAGAGGGCAGGCAUAGAAUUCUCCAGGAGGUUCACAUUCACCUUGAUCUAAUCAAGGCCAGGGAUAUCUUUCCUGACCUGUGCCUCAGACCUUGACAUACUGAUAUUUCUCCAAAAUGAUGUUUUUGGACUGUUAGAGAAAUAUACUGUUUUUUCUAAUGCAGCAAAGUGUGUAUAUUUCAGUUCAACUUCUAGCACUUUUUAAAAGCUGAGAAAAAAAUCCUGCCCAGGUGCUCUCUGAUCCCUUUGGCUUGGGGAAGCAGGGAAUGAACUCACCUGAAAGGUUUGAAACCCUCUAGCAGGAACUGGAGCAGACCACAGCCCAGGAAGAGAGCCUCAUGCAGAAGGAACUGGUGGUGCAGAAACACUAUGUUCCAGGCAAGUCAGCCACCAUUGGGUCCCAUCCCCAGCAGCCAGGGUGUUCAUGGGCACAUCUUCAGAAAACUGAGAAGGCUGGAAGAAGCGAGAGACACCUUGAAAGCAUGACAUUCUACACUCCAGGUUCACGGCCUCCUCAGAAAUUGCCACCACUUUUCAGCUGUGAACUCACUAGUGAGGCAAAUAUCAACCUACCAUCAGGCCAUCCAGCCACAAUCUGAUCCACAUCCAUUGGCUCACUAUUCCCAGACAAAAGAUUGUAUCAGAAAUAGUCUAAGAUUCAGAGGACACAACACAAAUUACUAAGAACCCUGACAUCCAUCAGCACAUGGCCCCAGUGAGGAGUAAAAUAACAUGGAGAGGACAUGUGUGUGAGGAAGAGUUCUUCUGUUGACUUACUAUCAAGGGCUUUGACAAGCUGACUCCAUAUGUGAUAGAAGUCUGACAAGGAAGACUGUGUAACAUCACACUGUCAUCCAGACAGACCACACCCAAACCAUAAGAUUCUCUCCAAUAUCGAAGAUGGCGGAGACAAG